rnacentral:lncRNA from 1 species
AUGUUCGAACAAUGUCUAGAGGAGAUGGAAUUAGUCUCUAAUUCACUCUACCCCAUUCAACCUUCUGCUCCAGCUCGGCAGGCGGGGAAAGGUCACAACAGGUGUCCUGUGCCGUCCCCUUUUAAGAGUGCUUGGCUGUGUUCCAUGGUUACCCAAGUGAAUGCCACGCACCAUUUCAACUCUUUGAACAAACACUGCAGGUCUUUUUCUUUACAGCUUUUGUCCAGUUCCCCUGUCCAACCAGGGUCAGAGCAGGGCAGUAAGUGUCCCGAGUGGCCACUAUUUUUCACACUAAGGAACUUUGUGCCUGGUGGUCCUGGUUUGAACAUACAGUCCUGGUUGAACGUGAAGUGGAUUUACUUGCAGGCAGCAUGCAGCGUGAGUGUCGGAGGUCAGCUCUCUCCCACUGCCCCUCUGGCGAGGUUGCAGCGGCCAGACUCCCGUACUGAUACACCCGAUCUCUUGGAGCAACCAUCCAUAAUCUGAAGAACUUGGGGAAGAGGCCAAAAACCUGUCAGCAUUACACUGUGGGUCAGGCUGUGGUACUGAGGACACUGUGGGGAACAAACUGAGAGAGUGUAACAGAGUAAACAAGAUAUUUAUCUAACCUUUGAGAUUAAGAACAAGAUUUGAGUAAGAUUUUUGGUUUUACAUUCUGCAUCUUAGAUUUAUGUCUGGUGAAGUCUAAAGUCUCUUCUAAAGUCCCUGCAACUCCAGAAAUUAAAAUAUGGUCUUACGUAUAUGGGAAAGCAACUAAGUUUGCGUCACCAUUUUUAUAACGUAUAAAGAAAAAUAACAGUGAAGGAAAUUAUAGGUUUAAUUCUGGUUGCAAAGUCAUUUUGAAGAACUUGCAAAUAACAUUUUAAAAUAUGCAGUUGCACACAUUCACUCUUAUUGGUAUGCUCAAUAUAUUUAAAAUGCAAAACAUUUCAUGUCUUCUCACAUUCAGUUAGGAAUUACAUGAAUCACUUAAAUGAUACCAUAUUUUCUAGGGCUGGGUUUUGACACAAAUUUCAUGAUUCAAUUUUAAAUCACAAGCUUUCAAUUCGAUUAUUCUGGAUAUAGGCUAUAGUACAUGCCAAAUUUUCUCAAGGAAAAACAAAUCUCUUGAGUAGUGCUGCUAGGUCUACAUGGGAGUCAGUUGGAACUACAUUAUUAUAAUACUGAAGGUUAAAAUCUAAAUUAUUUUUUUGUUUUAUUAUUUGUGUGUGUGUGUAUGUGUGUCACAAAAUGUGUAUGUUUGGAUACGCACAUUGAAAUGGUGGCUGUCAUAAAAACUUGACAGAUUUAUUCAAGCAUAAAUUAAACAUUGAAGAGCAGAUUAUAAUGAAUGUGUUAUAUGGGUCAUUCAUAUUUAGUCAAAUCCUCUCUAAAGUAAUUUUUUCUAGCUGAUUAACUAUAUGUUUGUUUCUGAGGUAAAUGUGAUAUUACCUUACAUUGUUUACAAGCUGUUAGGCUUUAUCUUUCCGUGGUUGAAACACUAAUUGAGCGAAUACACAAGACUUUUGUAAGUUAUACUCUUUCUUUUAAAUUUCCUUCGGAUGUUUAUUAAUUUCUUUCGUAAUGAAACUGGUAUAUGAAAGCAGAGGAGAUGUUUCGCCAAAGUCCCUGCCGCUUCUUUUGAACUGAUCUAUCGUUAAACAGCACCAAAAUGUCAUAAUAAGUACUGUAAUAAAAUGUACAGAAUUUUAAAUCCAAGACUUUUUUUCAUAUCAAAAGUAACAAAGUGCAAAUGAUUGCAAUUUAUUGGUUGGACUUUGUGCACCAGUGUUCCCGGUUCUUUUAACCUUUAUCAUUGUAGUUGAUUGUUUCUGUUUAAAAGUCC